rnacentral:rRNA from 1 species
UACAGAAGUCUCAAGCGUUGUUCGGAUUCAUUGGGCGUAAAGGGUGCGUAGGUGGCGCCGUAAGUCGGGUGUGAAAUUUCGGAGCUUAACUCCGAAACUGCAUUCGAUACUGCGGUGCUUGAGGACUGGAGAGGAGACUGGAAUUCAUGGUGUAGCAGUGAAAUGCGUAGAGAUCAUGAGGAAGACCAGUGGCGAAGGCGGGUCUCUGGACAGUUCCUGACACUGAGGCACGAAGGCCAGGGGAGCAAACGGG